GUCACGCUGUAAACGAUGUCGAUUUGGAGGUUGUUCCCUUGAGGAGUGGCUUCCGGAGCUAACGCGUUAAAUCGACCGCUGGGGAGUACGGCCGCAAGGUUAAAACUCAAAUGAAUUGACGGGGGCCCGCACAAGCGGUGGAGCAUGUGGUUUAAUUCGAUGCAACGCGAAGAACCUUACCUACUCUUGACAUCCAGAGAAUUUAGCAGAGAUGCUUUAGUGCCUUCGGGAACUCUGAGACAGGUGCUGCAUGGCUGUCGUCAGCUCGUGUUGUGAAAUGUUGGGUUAAGUCCCGCAACGAGCGCAACCCUUAUCCUUUGUUGCCAGCACGUUAUGGUGGGAACUCAAAGGAGACUGCCGGUGAUAAACCGGAGGAAGGUGGGGAUGACGUCAAGUCAUCAUGGCCCUUACGAGUAGGGCUACACACGUGCUACAAUGGCGUAUACAAAGAGAAGCGACCUCGCGAGAGCAAGCGGAACUCAUAAAGUACGUCGUAGUCCGGAUUGGAGUCUGCAACUCGACUCCAUGAAGUCGGAAUCGCUAGUAAUCGUAGAUCAGAAUGCUACGGUGAAUACGUUCCCGGGCCUUGUACACACCGCCCGUCACACCAUGGGAGUGGGUUGCAAAAGAAGUAGGUAGCUUAACCUUCGGGAGGGCGCUUACCACUUUGUGAUUCAUGACUGGGGUGAAGUCGUAACAAGGUAACCA
rnacentral:rRNA from 2 species